GAGAUGUUGGGUUAAGUCCCGUACCGAGCGCAACCCUUAUCCUUAGUUGCCAUCACCUUCGGCUGGGAACUCUAAGGAGACUGCCGGUGACAAACCGGAGGAAGGUGGGGACGACGUCAAGUCAUCAUGGCCCUUACGACCUGGGCUACACACGUGCUACAAUGGACGGUACAAAGGGUUGCCAAGCCGCAAGGUGGAGCUAAUCUCAUAAAACCGUUCGUAGUCCGGAUCGGAGUCUGCAACUCGACUCCGUGAAGUCGGAAUCGCUAGUAAUCGUGAAUCAGAAUGUCACGGUGAAUACGUUCCCGGGCCUUGUACACACCGCCCGU
rnacentral:rRNA from 1 species